rnacentral:rRNA from 1 species
AUUGAACGCUGGCGGCAUGCUUUACACAUGCAAGUCGAACGGUAACAGGUUAAGCUGACGAGUGGCGAACGGGUGAGUAAUGCAUCGGAACGUGCCCGGUCGUGGGGGAUAACGCAGCGAAAGCUGCGCUAAUACCGCAUACGAUCUGAGGAUGAAAGCGGGGGACCGUAAGGCCUCGCGCGAUCGGAGCGGCCGAUGUCAGAUUAGGUAGUUGGUGGGGUAAAGGCUCACCAAGCCAACGAUCUGUAGCUGGUCUGAGAGGACGACCAGCCACACUGGGACGGAGACACGGCCGAGACUCCUACGGGAGGCAGCAGUGGGGAAUUUUGGACAAUGGGCGAAAGCCUGAUCCAGCAAUGCCGCGUGCAGGAAGAAGGCCUUCGGGUUGUAAACUGCUUUUGUACGGAGCGAAAAGGUCUCCUCUAAUACAGGGGGCUCAUGACGGUACCGUAAGAAUAAGCACCGGCUAACUACGUGCCAGCCGCCGCGGUAA